rnacentral:rRNA from 1 species
AACGAACGCUGGCGGCAUGCCUAACACAUGCAAGUCGAACGAGACCUUCGGGUCUAGUGGCGCACGGGUGCGUAACGCGUGGGAACCUGCCCUUAGGUUCGGAAUAACUCCCCGAAAGGGGUGCUAAUACCGGAUAAUGUCUUCGGACCAAAGAUUUAUCGCCUUUGGAUGGGCCCGCGUUGGAUUAGCUAGUUGGUAGGGUAAAAGCCUACCAAGGCGACGAUCCAUAGCUGGUCUGAGAGGAUGAUCAGCCACACUGGGACUGAGACACGGCCCAGACUCCUGCGGGAGGGAGCAGUGGGGAAUAUUGGAAAAUGGGCGAAAGCCUGAUCCAGCAAUGCCGCGGGAGUGAUGAAGGCCUUAGGGUUGUAAAGCUCUUUUACCCGAGAUGAUAAUGACAGUACCGGGAGAAUAAGCUCCGGCUAACUCCGUG